GAGAAGGGAAGGAAGAAGAGGAAGGAGAAAGGGGGAAGGAAGAAGCAGGGAGGGGUCCUCAAGGAGCUAUGUGAGUUAGGAAAAUGAUCAUUUCAGGAACUGUGAAGUGUUAAAGAGAAAGUAUAUUAGAACUAUUAUGAAGUCACAGGAGAAGCCAUAUGAGUUGUCAGUGGUUGCUGUCUUUGCUACCCUUUCUUAAUGAUGCUGGCUCCCAUAUCUCAGCUUCAACUAGAGUCCUUUCAUAGAAUUGUCCCUCUCCCUCUCCCUCCCCCUCCCUCCCCCUCCCCCUCCCCCUCUCCCCACGGUCUCCCUCUCCCUCUCUUUCCACGGUCUCCCUCUGAUGCCAAGAUGAAGCUGGACUGUACUGCUGCCUUCUCGGCUCACUGCAACCUCCCUGCCUGAUUCUCCUGCCUCAGCCUGCCCAGUGCCUGGGAUUGCAGGCGCGUGCCGCCACACCUGACUGGUUUUCGUAUUUUUUUGGUGGAGACGGGGUUUCGCUGUGUUGGCCUGCCUGGUCUCCAGCUCCUAACCGCGAGUGAUCUGCCAGCCUCGGCCUCCUGAGGUGCUGGGAUUGCAGACGGAGUCUCUCAUUCACUCAGUGCUCAAUGUUGCCCAGGCUGGAGUGCAGUGGCGUGAUCUCGGCUCGCUACAACCUCCACCUCUCAGCUGCCUGCCUUGGCCUCCCAAAGUGCCGAGAUUGCAGCCUCUGCCCGGCCGCCACCCCGUCUGGGAAGUGGGGAGCGUCUCCCUGGCCGCCCAUCUUCUGGGAUGUGAGGAGCCCCUCUGCCCGGCUGCCCAGUCUGGGAAGUGAGGAGUGCCUCUUCCCGGCCGCCAUCCCGUCUAGGAAGUGAGGAAUGUCUCUGCCCGGCCACCCAUCAUCUGGGAUGUGAGGAGCGCCUCUGCCCGGCCACGACCCUGUCUGGGAGGUGAGGAGCAUCUCUGCCCGGCAGCCGCCCCGUCUGGGAAGUCAGGAGUGUCUCCGCCCGGCAGCGCCCAGUCUGGGAGGUGGGGGGCAGCCCCCACCUGGCCAGCCGCCCCGUCCGGGAGGGAGGUGGGGGCACCUCCGCCUGGCCGCCGCCCCGUCCGGGAGGUGGGGGGCGCCUCUGCCCGGCCGCCCCUUCUGGGAAGUGAGGAGCCCCUUUGCCCGGCUGCCACCCCGUCUGGGAGGUGUACCCAACAGCUCAUUGAGAACGGGCCAUGAUGACGAUGGCGGUUUUGUCGAAUAGAAAAGGGGGAAAUGUGGGGAAAAGAUAGAGAAAUCAGAUUGUUGCUGUGUCUGUGUAGAAAGAAGUAGACAUAGGAGACUCCAUUUUGUUCUGUACUAAGAAAAAUUCUUCUGCCUUGGGAUGCUGUUAAUCUAUGACCUUACCCCCAACCCUGUGCUCUCUGAAACAUGUGCUGUGUCCACUCAGGGUUGGAUGGAUUAAG
rnacentral:lncRNA from 1 species